GCCGCUUUAGCUCAUCUGGGAGAGCGCCAGACUGAAGUCCAACUUUGGUUCUUACUAGCAACAGCUAGUAUUCUGGAGGCACUGUGUUCGAUCCACAGAAGCGGCA